rnacentral:lncRNA from 1 species
AUCCCCGACGCGGUCAUUCCCGGGGACACGGAGGGUCAGAAAGACGGCCGAUGUCACAGGGGUGGCUGUGACGGAACUCGAGCCCCGGUCUUUGAAAGCCCCUGGCCUCUGCCUGGCACCCCACUUUGCUGUGUCUCUCUCCUCUCCUGACACCCUGUGACAGCCUUGCCGAGAGCCGAGGUCCCCACAGCUGACCGGGAGAGCCCCAGGAGGCAGGUCCAGUUCCCCCCUGUUGUAGACACGCGGGAGCCGAGGCCACACAGCCAGGAGGAAGGAAACUGACACCACACCAAGUGACCAGAGAUGCUGGGAAUCCCCUAAUUCCUCUCCUUUACUGAGAUAACAGACAGAGCAGAACAAAAGAAUGAUCACUCUGAGCACCCGAGAGCGGAGAAGCUAGGAAUGCCCUUGCCAGCCCCUGCAUCCUGGAGAAUCUGGUCCAGGACUGUCUGAGUUACCUUCAGGGACCUGCCUGGGAACAUAAAUGAGUGAGCUGGGUUGAGCAGGGGCUACUGUGGUUUAUUUCAUAAGGGCAUUUAUGUUAUAUUAUUUUGACUUAAACACUCUUGGCAUAUUAAACACUUAGGAAGACUUUUCACUUCCGCAAAGAAACAUAGUCUUUCACGUAUUUCUGGAAGUACAUGAAUUAUAC